GAAAUAUGUGUGACUGCCAGUUUUGAGAGACAUGCGAAAUACAUAGUUGUUUCUAGUAUUUUCCCCACUAAAAGGCAAAUGCUGAUUUUUGACGAAUCUACUUUUCUGAUUGGCAACUACAUGCAUCAUUCUUCCGGUCAUGAAAUCAUGUACCUGUUCAUUGUGAGGUGUUUAGAAUUCUGUGAACAAUGCUAGUAGGACCACUCGUUUCUAACAUGAGAGAAUGUGCCUGGCUGCUUUGGACACCAUCUUGCUUGGACAUGCACAUGUGAGCAGAGGUUACCUAAAUUCCGUUGCUGGUUUCAAUAUGGACUCCUCUCUAGCACUUUUCUAUUUAAGUAACUGAAAUUUAAUGACCUAGAGGAAACAGAGGCAGUUGAAUUAAAAGAUUUGUAACUAUGCACAGUCAAUUAUGACCUCUGCUGUUAGCUAUGGCUCACUAAAGGCUGAUUAUUUUCAUUUAUAUGUUCUGCAAACACUUUAACUUCAGAGUAAUUAAAACCUAAACUUCAAAUUUUUCCGGAAAACCAGGACUCUUUCCAACUGUCCCAUUUUUUAAAACUAAUGGUGGCAAAAUUAAACCACCUGUCCAAAGCUAAAAGACAGUUAUAACUUAUCAAGCCCUACAAAUAUGUGUUAAUGCCAGCCAUUUUUUUCCAUAAGUUACCAGCAUUCUCCAGAAUUUCAUCAGCAAGAAUGGAGUGAGAAGUUUAUAAGUGGUUUUUCUUCACUAAUCUUUAUCACUCCCAUACAUUUAAUCUGCAAAUUAAAGUGUAUUUGUGUACAGUUUCCAUGCAUAAUUUUUUCAGUACUUAUAAAAUAAUGUUUAAAUGGUGUGACUAAGCUUUAUGAGAUCUUGAGCCUUUCUAGUCUAUAAUACCUACAAACUGCAUGUUUAUUUUCUUCAAUUCCCCAAUAUAAUCCAUUUUUAAAAUAGUUGAUUUGGCUCAAGCAUUUUUCCACAAACAAGUCUUCAUCUGAGCUCCUGGACUUUUGUUUCUACCAUCUCUUCUACUCUUCUCCAUUUUUCAGGAUCUCUUUAUUCUUUAAGAUACAGGCACACGAGCAUAUUUCUCACAUGAAGACUUGUAACAUACCCA
rnacentral:lncRNA from 1 species